rnacentral:rRNA from 1 species
GCAACUCGACUCCAUGAAGCUGGAUUCGCUAGUAAUCGCGCAUCAGCCAUGGCGCGGUGAAUACGUUCCCGGGCCUUGUACACACCGCCCGUCAAGCCAUGGAAGCCGGGGGGUGCCUGAAGUGCGUGACCGCAAGGAGCGCCCUAAGGUAAAACCGGUGACUGGGGCUAAGUCGUAACAAGGUAAC